AGAGUUUGAUUCUGGCUCAGGACGAACGCUGGCGGCGUGCUUAACACAUGCAAGUCGAACGGAGCACCUUCGAAAGAGACUUCGGUCAAUGGAAAAGAAUGCUUAGUGGCGGACGGGUGAGUAACGCGUGAGGAACCUGCCUUUCAGUGGGGGACAACAGUUGGAAACGACUGCUAAUACCGCAUAACGUACGGGUAUCGCAUGGUAUCUGUACCAAAGAUUUAUCGCUGAGAGAUGGCCUCGCGUCUGAUUAGCUAGUUGGUAGGGUAACGGCCUACCAAGGCGACGAUCAGUAGCCGGACUGAGAGGUUGGCCGGCCACAUUGGGACUGAGAUACGGCCCAGACUCCUACGGGAGGCAGCAGUGGGGAAUAUUGGGCAAUGGGCGAAAGCCUGACCCAGCAACGCCGCGUGAAGGAAGAAGGCUUUCGGGUUGUAAACUUCUUUUGACAGGGAAGAGCAGAAGACGGUACCUGUCGAAUAAGCCACGGCUAACUACGUGCCAGCAGCCGCGGUAAUACGUAGGUGGCAAGCGUUGUCCGGAUUUACUGGGU
rnacentral:rRNA from 1 species